rnacentral:lncRNA from 1 species
UACAUUUUGAGUAAGAUUUCUCGUAAUCAUAAAGCAAAAUAAAAUGACGAGCCAGCGUUUUCUACACAUAUGUGAUGUCAUUAAAAUGGGCUUGCUUACAUUCAUCAAAUUAUAAAGUUUGUGAACGACACACCUUUAUUAUCCACCACCUUGAUCCAGAUACAACUUAACUUCUAACUGCGAAAAUCAGGGCCUGUAUUUGUGAUGAGACGAAACUACGAAAUUCUUCAGAUAUAUUCUUCAAGAGAUAAGACCAAAGCCAGAUAAAGGAAAUCAAAGAAAAAAACUUAUACCUUAAUCAUCCAUCCCCAAAGAACAGAUUUGACUUUUUCUUUGCAAACGAGAUUCCAACAAUGAUAAGAUCCAUUCACGAUGAGUACGGAAUUUCAAUAUUUAUAAAAAUAAGUUCUUAAUGUAAAAAAAAAAAAAUCAACAAAUUAUUGUUGACAUUAUACAUAUACUAAAUAAAAUGAAACAUGUUUAUACAGAAAUAAAUAGAAAUAUUAGCAGAAUAGAAUAUGCAAUGACAAUACAGACAAAACAAUCGAGAAAAGAGAGGCACAUUAUCUAUUAGAGUUUAAAAUUAUCUACCACUAGUUUUCCAAUGGCCCAGACGUAAUAAAAAAAUCAAUAGUCCAGAAAAAGAGACGAAGGAGAGUCGACCUAAGAAAAGAAGAACAUCAUAAUUUCAAUGAAAGGGCAGUGGAUGGAGGAUGAGAACUCUUUCUGUUUCUCAUAUGGGCAUUCAAUCGAUAGUUCUGUCUUUUUGUGGAACUCAUUAGUUCUUAUAGAAUUAUACGGUUAUUCAGUGGAAGAUUUGAGGAAUUAUUGUAUUUUUUAGUGCAGUGACAAUGAUUCUCAAGAUCAGAAGUGUAAUUGUUAUUUUUAUAAUUUAUUUUGUUACACUUGUUUAAAUUUUUUGUUUGUUCUAUGUCAUCUUUAUAUUUUGCAUUGUAAUAAUAGAGGCCACCAGAGUACGUACAUACAAAACUAAAAUCGUGUUGUUGCAAAUAAAAAGAGACAUGUUA